rnacentral:rRNA from 1 species
CGCGGCCUAUCAGCUUGUUGGUGGGGUAAUGGCCUACCAAGGCGACGACGGGUAGCCGACCUGAGAGGGUGACCGGCCACAUUGGGACUGAGACACGGCCCAGACUCCUACGGGAGGCAGCAGUGGGGAAUAUUGCACAAUGGGCGAAAGCCUGAUGCAGCGACGCCGCGUGAGGGAUGAAGGCCUUCGGGUUGUAAACCUCUUUCAGCAGGGACGAAGCGCAAGUGACGGUACCUGCAGAAGAAGCACCGGCUAACUACGUGGCAGCAGCCGCGGUAAUACGUAGGGUGCGAGCGUUGUCCGGAAUUACUGGGCGUAAAGAGUUCGUAGGCGGUUUGUCGCGUCGUUUGUGAAAACCCGGGGCUCAACUUCGGGCUUGCAGGCGAUACGGGCAGACUUGAGUGUUUCAGGGGAGACUGGAAUUCCUGGUGUAGCGGUGAAAUGCGCAGAUAUCAGGAGGAACACCGGUGGCGAAGGCGGGUCUCUGGGAAACAACUGACGCUGAGGAACGAAAGCGUGGGUAGCAAACAGGAUUAGAUACCCUGGUAGUCCACGCCGUAAACGGUGGGCGCUAGGUGUGGGUUCCUUCCACGGAAUCUGUGCCGUAGCUAACGCAUUAAGCGCCCCGCCUGGGGANUACGG